rnacentral:lncRNA from 1 species
CCAGACACAAGAUCUAAUCUUCUCCAUCAUCUUACAAGAAAUCUUUCAAGAAAAAGUCUCAUUUGAAAAUCUUUCACAUCUUGUGAGGAUGAAUAAAAGACAGAAUGUCAACUUUGCCGCCUUAAAAUUUCAAAAAGAGGAAACAUUCCAAAAUCGCAUACAGCAUCCAUGAUACAUGAUCCUUGAUCCAGACAUAAAAGAGAAUAUAAAAAUGAAGAAAAGAGACGCUGUUAGAGAAAAAUGGGACUUCCCUCCAAACAUCUUGCUCCUCACCCACAUGGGUGGAAGUGAUCAACCCUCAGUCACUCAAAUGGGCACAGGAAGGGCCUUGGAUUAUCCCUUCAAGCUGGCGGCCCAAGAAAACUGUUUCUGCACCCUAUGUCAGCCCUUAAAACUUUACUAUAGCUCUAAUUCAAAAUUGUAAUAAUAAAAUUUGUAUUUAAAAUUAUGCACAGGCUUUGGCCUCCUCUUCAGCUGAACUUUAACACUUGGCCAUUUGGCAUUCAGCCAUAAUGUACCUGUAACUGUAAUGUACCCCUAAAUAUAAAUUGAAAAUCUUUUCUUCCCCCAACCCCUGGUCUCUUCUCCAGAGAUUACCACUGGUGCUUAAGGGCCUUGUAAUAUUUCUAUAAAAUAUUUGUAUUUGUUCUUGCAACAGUGGGAUCAUCCCAUAUACUCUCCAGUAAUUUGUUAUGUACCAUUACAUUAAAGAUAAUUUAAUUCAAACAUCUUUCCAUGAGACUAUGUGUAGCUCUAUCUUAUGUUUUGUAAUGACUUGCAUAUAUUCUGUUGUAUGGAUGUGGCAUUAUUUAAUGACCCAAUCCUUAAUUAAAGAACAUUUAGUCUAUUAUCAUUUUUUUUGAGAGGGAGUCUCGCUUUGUUGCCCAGGCUGGAGUGCAAUGGCACAGUCUCGGCUCACUGCAACAUCUGCCUCCCGGGUUCAAGCUAUUCUCCUGUCUCAGCCUCUUGAGUAACUGGGAUUAC